rnacentral:misc_RNA from 1 species
GUGAAUCAUCGAAUCUUUGAACGCAAAUUGCACUCCCUGGUAUUCCGGGGAGUAUGCCUGUUUGAGGGUCGGUAGAAUAAACAAUCGAGGCGUCGCGCUUUGUUUGAGGGUGAUCGCGUCGGAAUAGAGCCGUCUUUCAAAUGUUAAUUCAUGUCAAAGUGUCUUGAAAUUCAUCCAUCCGGUACGAUUGAAGCGUAUUAAAGAUCAAUCUUGAUUAAGAACG